rnacentral:lncRNA from 1 species
CCAGGAAUUGUUGUGCCACAGCAGUGCCUAUUUUGAAUUAAGGAAAAUCAAGCCUUGAUGAACAGCCAGAAUGAGAAGUGGGACUAAUUCCCUGCAGCUGGGUCUCUGCUAAACACAACCAGCCCCAAAAUGCUGCCCCAUCUGCAAACUGGACGUGAGCAGCUCAAUUCAUCCCAAAAAAUCCCAAAAUACACUGCAUUCCUGCACUGCUGCAUCUCUAACUCCAGACAAGCCUUGGCUGCCUAUUUCUUUUUUUUUUUUUUUUUAAUUCUGCAAUGAAACUAUGCAGGAAAGAUCCCAACCAUGCAAAGGAAUAUUCUCAGCUAAUAUAAAUCAGGGUUAUUUCACAAAAGGCAAUGAACUGAAGCUGGUUUAUGUCUCCUACAGCUGUAGAUCAAAACAGAAUUAGCUUGAAACCUGCUGCAUGGAGCUAUUUAGAAUUAUUUGUGAAGUGCCUAAUCCCCAGAAGCUUAUGUUCAGAAAGGAUUUUUGGCAGCUAAGCCAGGAAAAGCCACAGAGCAAUCACCAUAAAAUCUCACUGACACUAGCAAGGGUGAGGAGUGUCACUGGAAUGAAAAUAUCCUGGCACCUUUCACACAACAUCAUGCCACUGCUUCAAGAAAGAAUCAUGGGGAGAUCAACCUCACUGCAAUAAAUAUUUCUCAUUUCCAGCGAAACUGAGGAAUUCCACAGGCCAAAGCUGUGCAAUGCAAAGCACUGUAGGGACAAAGAGAAACCAUCCCAGGUAGCACCAUAAACAAACAGGUAAAAAGUGGGAGUAGGAACAGUUUCAAAGCAUUAAAAUUAUUUAUUCAGCAUCAUGCAGUUAAGGAACUCUGCUGAGUAAGAUGCAGGUUGUCUGACUCUCAUUUUUGACUUCUGACAACCACAUGCUGCUUUUCUCCCAAGCCCACAAUCUAUACCACAUCUCUCUGCUUGUUUACCAGCUCAAAAUCCAUGAAUUACAAAAACUCUAUUUCCCCUCUCCAUAACUAUGCACUGCUAAACUUCAGAGCAGCAGAUGGACUAAGGGAUGUAAAAGAACUGCAGAAAAUAAAAAGGUAAAUUACUUCUGAGAACA